UCUGAAAAAAGAAAGGUGAUUGCUGAUGUGCUCUCGUUUAAAACGUUUUCUGUAUAGAAAAUAAUGUUUUGGCGAUUUUUAUUAUUUCUUUUUUUUCUCAUUCCUCCUCAAAGCAAUGCAAAACAAGAGAAACAUUUCCUCCACUACAAGUUUACAGCUCUUUCCAAAGCAGACACACUCCCAGAGUUCAGCGCUGUGGCUGUUGCUGAUGACAGACAGAUCAAACACUACAGUAAUGAAAAAAGACUCUGGAUAAAAUUGAAUUUGACUGAAGAUGACUGGACUGAAGCACCUUUAGAACCACCUGAUUCUAGAGAGUGGUUCAUACAUUGGAUUAGGACUCUGUCAAACUGCACAAACCCACAGUGUUCUCAGCUCCAUGUUCUUCAGAGAAUAAUUGGUUGUGAACUGGAGAAAUUUCCUAAUGAAACAGUGAAGAGUCUGAGAGCCUUUGAUGAAUAUGGAUUUGAUGGAGAGAAUUAUAUUGCUUUUAAUUCUGACACUCUGCAGUGGAUUGAUAAAAACCCCAAAGCCAAAGAAACCAAAAUGACAUGGGACCAUGAAACAGAGCGCAAUGAACAUAUACAGGUUUACCUCAGGGGAUGUUUGAACUGGAUCAUCACAUUUAACAACGCAAAAAAGAGUAAACCAGCUGUUCAUGUCUUUGCGAGGAAAGCUCCUGAUGAUCACAGUAAGCUGGUUCUGACCUGUCUGGCCACUGGUUUCUACCCCAGAGAUAUUGAGAUGAACAUCAGACUGGACAGAACUAUCAUUAAGAACCAAAGAUCAUCUGGAUUCAGACCAAAUGCUGAUGGAUCCUUUCAGAUGAGAACUAGUGUGGAGAUUGACAGAAACCACAUGGAGCCUUAUGAAUGUCUGAUCAUUCACAGCAGUCUGAAACAACAGGUUGUAAUUAAAUGGGAUAGUAUAUGUUUGGACUGUGAAAUAUCUCUAUGGUAUUUAGCAUUCACAGCUGCAAUUAUACUUCUACCUCUACUUGUCAAUAUGUGUGUUCAAUGGAAAAGGUUAAAUGGCCAGACGACAGAUGCCCGAGGUUUAACACACGAGGACUCGGUUUUGACAGACAAAGAUUGAGCAAACUGUGAGGAACAAGAAAUCGCAUGAUGAACGUGUUAUUGAAAGUAAAUUCGAUGGAUCUGAUGCAGAAAAGAAUCAAAGCACCAGGCUGUGGGUGAGUCUGACGGCAGACAGAUCGCUCACUAUUGAAGAACACCUCUGGAUAAGAAAGAAUCUGACUGAAGAUGACUGUAAUGAAAGUCCAAAACCGCCUAAAUUAAAGGAAGGUUCUUAAAUCAUCCGAUCUGUCAUGCAGAGUGUUCUGAGCUCCAUGUACUUCACAGAAUAACUGGCUGUAAACAGGAGAAAUUUCCUAAUAGAACAGUGAGUCUGAUGGCCUUUGAUGAAUAUCCAUGUGAGGGAAACAGGUUUAUUGCCUUUAAUUCUGACACUCUGCAGUGGAUUGAUAAAAACCCCAAAGCCAAAGAAUCCAAAAUGACAUGGGACCGUCAUACUUAACAUAUUGAACUCCUGAAGAUUUUCCUUGUGAACUGCAUGGACUGGAUCUCCACAUUAAUAACACACGAGUAUGUUUUAAUCAGAUAUUUUUAAUAAGCUCCUGCGUGUGUGUUUGUGCUUUGACACAAUGAGUCCAGGAGGCUGUUUCUAGAGGUUGUUUAUCAUGAUUAUCAUUAUGAGGACUUGUUGAAAUAUUCUCAUUUGAGUGCUUGAUUUUACUUUCUGGGUUUGAUACAGCAGCAGCCCUUCACAUGAUCAAACACUUAAUGCACUCGAAAUUAGAAAAAUCUGUCGUAAUUCCUCAAGCAAAAUGUCACCGGGCCCACUCAUCAUUUUAAUCAUAUGCUAGAUUUAAUUAUAUCCCAUGGAAUUGAUCUUACUGAUAUAGAUAUCGUACCUCAAAGUGAUGAUGUUUCUGACCAUUUCCUUGUAUCGUGCAUGCUGCGUAUCACUGAUAUUAACUAUAUGGCUCCGUGUUAUCGUCUUGGCAGAACUAUUGUUCCAGCCACCAAAGAUAGAUUUACAAAUAACCUGCCUGAUUUAUCUCAACUGCUCUGUGUACCCCUUAAUACAGAGGAUCUAGACAAAAUGACUAGCAAUAUGGGCACCAUCUUCUCCGAUACGUUAGAAGCUGUUGCCCCCAUCAAAUUGAAAAAAGUUCCCUCAAAAAAGAAACUCGCAAUCUUGAGCGCAAAUGGAGAAAAACUAACUUGGAAGUUUUUAGAAUUGCAUGGAAAAGCAGUAUGUCCAGAUACAGACAGGCCUUAAAAGCUGCUAGGGCUGAGCAUAUCCGCAAACUCAUAGAAAACAACCAAAACAAUCCAAGGUUUUUAUUUAGCACAGUGGCUAGAUUAACAAAUAACCAGACGCCACCUGAUCUAAAUAUUCCUUUACAGUUUAAUAGUAAUGACUUUAUGAAUUUCUUCACUGAUAAAAUAGAUAACAUCAGAAAUGCAAUAACCAAUGUAGAUUAUACUGCAUCUAAUGUCAACCUCUUUCGUCGCACCCAAAGAAAAACUGCAGUACUUUACCGCUAUAGGACAGGAAGAGUUAAAUAAACUCAUCACUGUGUCUAAACCAACAACAUGCCUAUUAGAUCCCGUACCCACUAAAUUACUGAAAGAAUUGUUACCUGUGGCAGAAGAACCGCUUCUCAAUAUUAUCAACUCAUCGUUAUCUUUAG